CAAGGCUGUUGUCACUCGUGUCGUGAGAUGUUGGGUUAAGUCCCGCAACGAGCGCAACCCUUGCCAUUAGUUGCUACAUUCAGUUGAGCACUCUAAUGGGACUGCCGGUGACAAACCGGAGGAAGGUGGGGAUGACGUCAAGUCCUCAUGGCCCUUAUAGGUGGGGCUACACACGUCAUACAAUGGCUGGUACAAAGGGUUGCCAACCCGCGAGGGGGAGCUAAUCCCAUAAAGCCAGUCGUAGUCCGGAUCGCAGUCUGCAACUCGACUGCGUGAAGUCGGAAUCGCUAGUAAUCGUGGAUCAGAAUGUCACGGUGAAUACGUUCCCGGGUCUUGUACACACCGCCCGUCACACCAUGGGAGCGGGUCUCGCCAGAAGUAGGUAGCCUAACCGCAAGGAGGGCGCUACCACGUUCCCAC
rnacentral:rRNA from 1 species